UGCCAGCAGCCGCGGUAAUACGAAAAAUGCUAGCGUUGUUCGGAAUUACUGAACGUAAAGAGCAUAUAAACGGAUGAAUUAGUCAGAAAUGAAAGCCCCGAGCUCAACUUGGGAGCUGCCUUUGAUACUGUUUAUCUAGAGUCCGAGAGAGGUUAGUGGAAUUCCCAGUGUAGAGGUGAAAUUCGUAGAUAUUGGGAAGAACACCAGUGGCGAAGGCGGCUAACUGGCUCGGUACUGACGCUGAGAUGCGAAAGCGUGGGGAGCAAACAGGAUUAGAUA
rnacentral:rRNA from 1 species